rnacentral:rRNA from 1 species
GGUUGCGAUCAUACCAGCACUAAUGCAUCGGAUCCCAUCAGAACUCCGCAGUUAAGCGUGCUUGGGGGAGAGUAGUACUAGGAUGGGUGACCCCUUGGGAAGUCCUCGUGUUGCAACCCC